UAGGGAAUCUUCGGCAAUGGGGGGAACCCUGACCGAGCAACGCCGCGUGAGUGAAGAAGGUUUUCGGAUCGUAAAGCUCUGUUGUUAAGGAAGAACGAGUGUGAGAAUGGAAAGUUCAUGCUGUGACGGUACUUAACCAGAAAGGGACGGCUAACUACGUGCCAGCAGCCGCGGUAAUACGUAGGUCCCGAGCGUUGUCCGGAUUUAUUGGGCGUAAAGCGAGCGCAGGCGGUCAAUUAAGUCUGAUGUGAAAGCCCCCGGCUCAACCGGGGAGGGGCAUUGGAAACUGGUUGACUUGAGUGCAGAAGAGGAGAGUGGAAUUCCAUGUGUAGCGGUGAAAUGCGUAGAUAUAUGGAGGAACACCAGUGGCGAAGGCGACUCUCUGGUCUGUAACUGACGCUGAGGUUCGAAAGCGUGGGUAGCAAACAGG
rnacentral:rRNA from 1 species